AUGCAUUGACAUUUUCUUAAAUUUAUUUAUUUAGACACUUAAAACAUAUGUCUUUUCCAAUUAAGCACUUGAAAACAUGACAAGCUGUUCCUAUUAGAUACUUCAAACUUAAAUUUUGACAAACUUUCUGUACGUAUUCUCAAAUGCCUAUUAUGUAAAUACGUUAACCACUUAAAAAAAAAGUCACCUCAUUUACUCAUCAACCUCAAUUGGAACAUGCUUGAUGUAUUAAGCACAGUAUUAAUUAUGAUAAAAUUCUUUUUUUUUUUAAAAAUAAUAUAAAGUUCUAUGAAUCUAGCAUUCAAAUUUCUUUUUACCAUUGUAUAAUAUACUAAUAUAAAUUCAUGAGGUUGAUUUUUUAUGCAUUAUUGUCCUAAAGGUUAUUCCUUCCGAUUUCUUGCUCAUAAGUUGAAUCUAUAAUGUCAUUAGGAUGAAUUAUUAUACGUUAUUAUCCUGAAGAGCUUGCUUUCCAAUUUCUUGCUCAUUAGUUGAAUUUAUAAGCGUAAAUCAUUAUUGAACAAAAGUAAGUGUGUAAUUUAUCUUAACCGACUGUAAAAAGGUAUGUUAGCAUGAUACAAUAUUUAUUUCAAUACUUCGUUCGUAAUAAAAUCAUGCAUAAUAAAGUAUUUGUAUCAUUUAUGUCACUGUAAUGAAAAAUAUUACAUAUAUUUUAAAUCAUAAACACAUUUUAGACUAUCCUAUCAAGAUUUAGUUUUAAAUUCUUUUACUGAAGUUUUCUUUGUUUACGAUUUAUAGAUAUAUAUCAAAUCAAUUAAAAUAAAUAAUUUCCUGUCCCAAAUAGUAAAAUGGAAAAUUGUUAUGUUUGGCUCUGAACAUAAAGCUCGUGAAAACUCAAAAUUUGCCAAUAUAAUAUUACAUAGAAUUCAUUAAUAUUUUAAAAGAGAUAAUUUGCAUAAAAAAAAUUAUUUUCCCUUUCUUAUUUGAGACAAAACAAUAUUAGUAUUAAGAAUUAUAACAUUUAUAAUAAUAGCUCUCGCGCUGUCCCUAUUCCUUAUGUCAUCUGUAGGACACUUGAAUAUAUGUACUCCACCAAUUGUCUUACCCCUGCAAAGCAAUUCCCUAUAACUAUCAAAUGGUUUCCCCCAAACCAAGAUGGUAUCAAACUCAACUUUGAUGGUGCUUUCCCGGCCAACACUACUCAGGGUGGUUUUGGUGGUGUUUUCCGGGAUAAGAACGCUAACUGGGUCGCGGGAUACCACCAAUGCACUAGUAGUCUCAACUCUACCCAGAUGGAGAUUCAAGGCUUCCUUGAGGGUCUCCGUCUGGUCCUUCAUGAGGAAUCUGGGGAAUCCUCCAAUCCGCCAUAACUUUAGAUAAGGGAAUAGGAUGGCUCAUGUUCUAGCAACUGAAGGUUCAAAGAGAGCCACCUCUGAUCAAAUGCAGUUUUUGUUGGAAGCCCCUCCUUGGAUAAACAACAUCUUGCAGGAGGACAAAAAUGGUCGUUUUAGUAUUAGGUCUGUCCCACUUUUGGUUUGUAAUAAGCUAGCUAGACUUGGUAAUCUUAGUAUCCUCAACUCUGAUGUAAUCCCUACUGGUAGUAUCUCUACUAUAUCUACUGCUAAUAUUAACGUAGGCUUUUCUCAAGAUCCAACCAAAACUGAUGCCUCCACAUCAGCUGGUGCUACUCUGUAUGCUCCUUAAUAUCUAAAUAAAAUGUCGUGUUUAACAAAAAAUAAAAUAAAA